AAUGAACGCUGGCGGCGCGCCUAAUACAUGCAAGUCGAGCGAGAAGACGUAGCAAUACGUUUGUAAAGCGGCGAACGGGUGAGGAAUACAUGGGUAACCUACCCUAGAGUGGGGAAUAACUAGCCGAAAGGUUAGCUAAUACCGCGUACGCUCCUUGGACUUCGGUUCAGGGAGGAAAGCGAUGCCGAGGGUAUCGCGCUCUUGGAUGGGCUCAUGUCCUAUCAGCUUGNGGUGAGGUAACGGCUCACCAAGGCUUCGACGGGUAGCUGGCCUGAGAGGACGAUCAGCCACACUGGCACUGCGACACGGGCCAGACUCCUACGGGAGCAGCAGUAAGGAAUAUGCGCAAUGGGCAAAGCCUGACGCAGCGACGCCGCGUGGGGGAUGAAGGUCUU
rnacentral:rRNA from 1 species